GGUAGAGGUGGAUUUGGUCGGGGCGGUAGAGGAGGAUGACGUGGUGAUCGUCAACGGCAUUGGCCGUGACUGGUGGCGCCCUGGUUCGAGACGGCUGUGCUCGUGAAGGCGAUGAUUGACGGAGGAGCGAGAGAGCUUCUCGCGCGCGAGAGGAAAAGGGGGCGUUGUCGCCGUUGGUGGCUUCUGGCGGGGAACUUCCGACGAUUUGUGAGUGGCGAUGGCUUCAGGGGAAGACGUCCGGCGGUUUGUCGGUGGCAAUGGCUGUCAGAGUGGACGUGCAGUGGCGAAAAACCCAUCCCUGGGAUUGCCUUUCGCGAGAGAGACCCUAAGUCUCUGAUGAAAGGAAGUGUGAGGAAAGAAAGGGGAUCUGAGAGAACCCCUAAGGGGUUUCUGAAACUUGAGUUGGGUUGAGGGCGUGUUGGGCCUGUUUGUUUUUUAUUUUAUUUUCUUUUAAAUUAUUAUUAUUAUUAUUUUUAUGUUAAUUUUGGUUUUGCAUCCCUUAUUUUCCCUUUCACCACCC
rnacentral:lncRNA from 1 species